AAUGGAAUAGAAGCGCCUGGACUAAUUCCGAUCGGAUAGAGGGGAUUAGUUGACGAGGAGGAGGUUUAUCGAUCAAUCGGCGGAUGCCUCCCGGUUAAAGCAAACCGUCAUCUCUUCUUUAAAGCAUUAGGGUAACUUAAUGGACAAAGAGUAGGGAAUGCUAAUUU
rnacentral:ncRNA from 2 species